AUUCUGACCCAAGCAGAUAUCACGACGCAGAUACUGGGAUCCGUGUUUGUAGAUACAGGAGUUGAGGCCAAGAGAGCGCGUGUUCCAGGACCCAGUUUCCACUACAGCGGGGACCCAGGAAGCCCUGGUUUUUAGAUUUGGACAUCGGUGGUCUUUCAUUCUUUUGCAAGGCCUCUCUAGACAGAAUUCUAGAGUUUCUUCUGGUUUCUGUGAGUGCGGCUUGGAACGAGGCGUUUCUAGGGUAGUCGCUUCUUCUGUUGCCGGGCACCCUUUGUUGGCACUCUAAUGCCAACUGUCUUUGUCACCGGCGGGAAGAAUAAAUUAGAAAACAAGAACCCCGUUCCCUCUGAUAUCCGUUUAUUAGAAGGACUCGGUGACGAAGGAAGAUAUAAAUUGGAAGCAAUGCUGCAUUUGAGGAAGCUGGUAUGAUGGAAUGGGUGGUUUCGAGAGGGUAAUCCAGGCAGACUUCCUGGAAGAGCUCGUGUAGGGGCACCCGAGUCACAGGUGGAAGACGAGAUCAGGUCCGGGCACGGCUGGAGAUCACUGAUCCCACCUUGGGGUGGAAGAGUCUGGAUUCCCAUGACGAGUGUCCGAGUUGGCAGAAGAACCAACGAGGGAAAGAGAGAGAAUCUCAAGUAGGCUCCUUCACAUGGAGCCCAACGCGGGGCUCGAUCCCACGAUCCUGGGAUCAUGACCUGGGCCGAAAUCACGAGACGGACGCUCAAGCCACCGAGCCACCCGGAUGCCCCCAAGAAAGGCCCUUAAAGGUCAUUUUAGCCUAAGUCAAGAAAUGAUAACUAUUAAGUGAUCAAGGCAUUUGGGAAUGCCAAGUGUCAGAACCCUGAAGAAGGAAACAAUAGUCGUGUUUUCUCACAGUGGCAGCUUAGGGACCCCGAGGUCUUUUUCCAAACAAGGUUGAGCGUAAAUGAUGAGGGAUGUGUUGAAUUGGCGAACAGCUGGGUGUAGUGGAAAAAAUUUCGCCUUGGAAGGUAGAAGGCCAGAAUUCAAAGAACAUGUAGUUGGGAAAAAUCCCUUCAUGGUAGGACCCCAGUUAGCUUGAUGCCUGCCCUGUGUGUGUGUGUGCUGAGUUGAAACCACGGUCUGGGGACGCCCGGGUGGUUCAGUCGGUUAAGUGUCCAACUCCUGAUUUCUGGCUCAGGUCAUGAUCUCAUGGUUCGUGAGUCCAAGCCCCUUGUCAGGCUCCAAGUGGACCGGGCUGAACCUGCUUGGGAUUCUCUGUCUUUCUCUCUGUCCCUCCCCUUCUUGAGCUCUCUCUCUUUCUCUCUCAAAAUAUGAAAGAAAGAAAAGAAAGAAGAAAGAACGAAAGAAGAAAGAAGAAAGGAGAAAGAAAGAAAGGAGAAAGAAAGAAGAAAGAAAGAACGAAAGAAAGAAGAAAGAAAGAAGAAGAAAGAAAGGAGAAAGAAGAAAGAAGAAGAAGAAAGAAGAAA
rnacentral:lncRNA from 1 species